GACGAACGCUGGCGGCGUGCCUAAUACAUGCAAGUCGAGCGAAGUUUUUCUGGUGCUUGCACUAGAAAAACUUAGCGGCGAACGGGUGAGUAACACGUAAAGAACCUGCCUCAUAGACUGGGACAACUAUUGGAAACGAUAGCUAAUACCGGAUAACAGUAUUUCUCGCAUGAGAGAUAUUUAAAAGUUGGUUAUGCUAACACUAUGAGAUGGCUUUGCGGUGCAUUAGCUAGUUGGUGGGGUAAAGGCCCACCAAGGCGACGAUGCAUAGCCGACCUGAGAGGGUGAUCGGCCACACUGGGACUGAGACACGGCCCAGACUCCUACGGGAGGCAGCAGUAGGGAAUCUUCCGCAAUGGGCGAAAGCCUGACGGAGCAACGCCGCGUGAGUGAAGAAGGAUUUCGGUUCGUAAAGCUCUGUUGUUAGGGAAGAAUGGAUAUGUAGUAACUAUACAUGUAAGAAACGGUACCUAACCAGAAAGCCACGGCUAACUACGUG
rnacentral:rRNA from 1 species